rnacentral:rRNA from 1 species
UUGCCUACGGGGGGCAGCAGUGAGGAAUAUUGGUCAAUGGGCUUACGCCUGAACCAGCCAAGUCGCGUGAGGGAAGACUGCCCUAUGGGUUGUAAACCUCUUUUGUCAGGGAGCAAAGGGCGCCACGUGUGGCGUUUUGCGAGUACCUGAAGAAAAAGCAUCGGCUAACUCCGUGCCAGCAGCCGCGGUAAUACGGAGGAUGCGAGCGUUAUCCGGAUUUAUUGGGUUUAAAGGGUGCGCAGGCGGAAUGUCAAGUCAGCGGUAAAAUUUCGGGGCUCAACCCCGUCGUGCCGUUGAAACUGGCG